rnacentral:lncRNA from 1 species
CUGGUUUUAAGACACACAGCAGCAUCUGAUCUGGGUUGGGGGUGGGGCAGGGUGCGAGUUUCCCUUGGGGAAGUCUUCUUGCGCUGGGCGGGGAGAGGUCCCCUAAUUUAUCUAUGACAUGCUUCUGAUACUUAUCUCACUACCUUCCACCCAGACCUCACUCUCCUGGGCUCAGACAAGAAUCCAGUUGCCAGCUGAACAUCUCUUAACUCUCCUUGAUGAGAAGGCCCAAGGAGUCACAGGGGAGCUCGCUACCUCCUCCUCACCCUCCAGGACUCAGAUGAGAUGCCCCUUCCUCCAGAAGCCUUCCCGACAGAGUGUCCUGAGAGAUGCCCCAUCCUGUGACCCACACAGUCCCAUACAGUCUCCAUCAGAAGCUUUAGCAUAUUCUGCUGUGAUUCCUUACCUGUGUCCGUCUCCCCGCAGGACCGCAGGCUUCCUAGGGGCAGAACUGUACCUCUGUGCUAUUCACGGCUGGAUCUCCUGCUCCCGGGUCUGGGCAAGGGGCCUGGGCAGUGCUCUGUCAAUGUCUGUUGAAAGACUACAGGAAUUACCAUGCCAUCCGAGCCCGCAUGCACACGGGUUAUGCACACUGCUGAAUGGUGCUUUUCGUGUGUACUGGCUCAUUUAAUCUUCCCAACAACCCUUGAGGUAGGUACUAUUAUCCUCUUUGUAUAGAUGAGGAAACUGAGGCACCAAGAGUUCAAGAAGCACUAAGUCACGUUCGAGAUGUUAGUCGCUCAGUUUGCAAAAAAGGCAGGAUUGGAACCCAGGCAGUCUGGCUCCAGAAGCCACGCUCAGAACACUUUGCUUCUGCCCCUUGGUCAUACUAAAUUCUGCAACUACAGCUUGGUUUGGAAUUGUUUUGUGGGAGUGAAGGAGGGAAUAUCAAGGAUAGGAGAGAUCCAGAGAAAUGGGGGUCACAUGUUUGCGGCUGUGCUAAGAGCAACUCGGGAAUCCGGAAGCUCUUGCUUGGUUGGAAAGAUCGCGGUCUGCCCGGUGACCCUGUCUGCACAGGAUGUCGGUGACAGCUGGCUCCUUGCCUCUCAUCACUGCUCAGGAGCAACUCCGGUGUCUUCUGAUGGUGUGUGUAGACGGCAAUCAUGCUACUGGGGUCUUCACUCU